CAGCAGCCACGGGAAUACGGAGGGUGCAAGCGUUAAUCGGAAUUACUGGGCGUAAAGCGCACGCAGGCGGUCUGACAAGUCAGAUGUGAAAUCCCCGGGCUUAACCUGGGAACUGCAUUUGAAACUGUCAGGCUGGAGUCUUGUAGAGGGGGGUAGAAUUCCAGGUGUAGCGGUGAAAUGCGUAGAGAUCUGGAGGAAUACCGGUGGCGAAGGCGGCCCCCUGGACAAAGACUGACGCUCAGGUGCGAAAGCGUGGGGAGCAAACAGGAUUAGAGACCCCAGUAGUCCCUGUCUCUUAUAU
rnacentral:rRNA from 1 species